UGGUGUAAACUGCAAGAGUGUGUAUGC
rnacentral:piRNA from 1 species